UACGUAGGGUGCAAGCGUUAAUCGGAAUUACUGGGCGUAAAGCGUGCGCAGGCGGUUUUGUAAGUCUGUCGUGAAAGCCCCGGGCUCAACCUGGGAAUUGCGAUGGAGACUGCAAGGCUUGAAUCUGGCAGAGGGGAGUAGAAUUCCACGUGUAGCAGUGAAAUGCGUAGAGAUGUGGAGGAACACCGAUGGCGAAGGCAGCCCCCUGGGUCAAGAUUGACGCUCAUGCACGAAAGCGUGGGGAGCAAACAGG
rnacentral:rRNA from 1 species